AUGCCACAGACCAUGCUCCUCCUAGCUAUCUGCUACGCGGCGCUGCUCGGCACCGGCGUGUCCGGCGCGCCAUCUCCUCCACCAGUGCCGGCAUCUACACUGUUGAGAGACCGGAAAAACUGUCCUGCCAAGUGCGGGACAUAGACAUCCCCUACCCUUUCGGCGUCGGCAAAAGGUGCUCGCUGUCGCCCAUGUCCGCAGUUCGCACUCACCUGUAACGAGGAGACGAGGCCUCCGACCCUGCACACGGGCGAGAAUGUCAAGGUCGCCAAUAUCACGCUGGAGACGGCGCAGAUGGUGGUCUACAACUACCUUACCUUCAGCUGCGUGGUGCCGGGCGAGAAGAAACUAGAGUGGCAAAACAUGGACAUGAAGAUCUCCCCGCCGUUCCUGCUCUCGCCGUCGGCCAACGUGUUCACGGCCAUCGGCUGCAGCUCGACGGCCAAGCAGCGACACGGCCUACUUCACCGGCUGUAUCACGACGUGUGAGAAGGUGAACGACACCGGGGCCGACGGCACACCGUGCAGCGGGCACGGCUGCUGCGAGGCCUCACUCACGCCCGGCCUCAACCAAGUCAAGGUGAGCUGGAACAAGGACGAGGAGGGCAGCAAUCCGGUGCACGGCAACCUGUGCCAGUACGCCUUCGUCGCCUCCAAAGGCUGGUACACAGUUACAGAAAAGCAGACCUAAUUGGAAGUAUGGCGUUCGUCAGCAGACUUCGACAAAACGCAAGUGACCCCAUCGUUCCACUUGUUUUUGACUGAGCAAUUAGGGAUGGGGCAUGCCCGCCGGAGCCAGAAGGUGAUGACAAGGAAACAAUUACCUACGGCGCUUGUGUUAGCACCCACAGCUAUUGUGUGAAUGCCAGCAAUGAAGCACCGGGCUAUUUCUGCAAUUGCUCAAGGGGAUACACCGGCAAUCCAUACAUAGAAAAUGGAUGCACGGAUAUUGAUGAGUGUGCAUUACGAAGAUGGCCAAAUACAACAUUGCAUGAGAUAAUGUAUCCUUGUCAUGGAGGGACAUGCGAUGAUACAGAAGGGGGUUAUAAGUGUAUAUGCAAUUUCGGACGAAGAGGUGACGGCAAGAGUGAAAGAGGCUGUGAACCCGUACUGCCCACGGCUGCAGUAGCAGCAAUAGGAACUAUAAGUGACAUGGCAGUACUAUCGGUGAUACUAAUAUUCUUGCACAUGGAGCGAGAGAAAAGGAAGCUGAGAGAUCGAUUCAACAGGAACGGCGGGUCGUUCCUCAAGAGCGCCGGGAUCGAGAUAUUUACCAAGGACAAGCUGGGUCGCAUCACAAACAAGUACAGCUGCAUCAUUGGCAAAGGUGCCUUCGGUAAGGUCUACAAGGGGACCACCGACACCGGCGUUGUUGUUGCUCCUGAAGCGCUCCAUCAUCGUUAACGAGUACCGGCAGAAGGAUUUCGCGAAUGAGAUCACGGUCCAAUCCAAGAUCAGCCACCCAAACCUGGUCCGGCUGGUGGGUUGCUGCCUGGAGACGGAGGUGCCCAUGUUGGUCUACAAGUUCAUCCAAAGAGGGAGCCUUCGGGACGUGCUUCACGGAAACAACGACCCUCUCCCACUGGAAACACGCCUCGACAUCGCCAUCAGCUCUGUCGAGGGGCUCCAUUACAUGCACUCGCAGAGCCAGAUGAUCCUCCACAGCGACGUCAAGUCCGGCAACAUCCUCCUCGGCGACCGCUUCAUGCCCAAGGUAUCGGACUUUGGGACGUCCAGGCUCAUGUCCAUCGACAAGGACCACACCAACUGGGUGGCCGGGGACAGCAGCUACAUCGACCCCGUGUACAUGAAGACCGGGCUGCUCACCGCAAAGAGUGACGUGUACAGCUUCGGUAUCAUGCUACUGGAGCUUGUUACCCGAAAGAAGGCUAGGUACGGGGAGAAUCGUAGCCUUCUGAUAGACUACAUCAAAGCUUCCAAGGAUGGCACAGCAAGGCAGAUGUUUGAUGAGGAUAUUUCAGCCAAUGUGGAGGAGAACAUGGAGUGCCUCGAGGAGGUUGGCAAGAUUGCAGUGCAGUGUCUUGACGAAGACGUGUAUAACAGGCCUACCAUGGGAGAAGUCAAGGAGAAACUUGAGAAGUGUAAGAGCCAGUGGUUGAAAAGCCAGGGGAAGGCGAAUGAGGUAAGUGCAUAG
rnacentral:rRNA from 1 species